AUUCAAAAUCGGCAUCGCGCUAGUGGUGGUUGUUGUGCCCGCGCGUUCUCUAAGCAAUUCCUUUCCUGGAAAUUUAAGGGUGGUCGUUAUUUCUAUUCGUUCCGCACGACACACGAAAAUAAAGUUAACUAAAAGUAUUAAAAGUGUAGCAGUUUGAAUUAGUGUCAAUCUAUUAAAAGCAAUAAAUUUGUCUAAAAGUUAACAUCGAAAAAAGCAAUUCGAGGAAGAAAAAAUGUUUUCACGACCAAGUCUGUGUGGAACUUUUGGGAAAUUGUGCCGCUGCGGCACUUCCACAACUGCAGCAGCAGCAGCAGGAACAACCACAUCGCCGGCUGUCUCGGCUCUGGCAUUGUGCGAGGCCCGUCGGUAUCAUGAGGUGGUGGGCGACAUCAUUUGCCCAUCGCAGGUGCGAGGCAUCGAUCACAUCCGUGAUCCGCGUCUGAACAAGGGUCUGGCGUUUACCCUGGAGGAACGCCAAGUUCUGGGCAUCCAUGGCCUGCAGCCGGCGCGCUUCAAGACGCAGGAAGAGCAGCUACAGCUGUGCAAAAUCGCCGUGAAUCGCUACACAGAGCCGCUCAACAAGUAUCUGUAUCUCAGCGAUCUGCACGAUCGUAACGAGCGGCUCUUCUUCCGCUUCCUCUCCGAGAACAUUGAGGAUCUAAUGCCCAUUGUGUACACGCCCACCGUGGGACUGGCCUGCCAGCGCUUCGGCCUGAUUUAUAGGCGUCCCCACGGCCUGUUUGUCACCUUCAAUGAUCGCGGGCACAUCUUCGAUGUGAUGAAGAACUGGCCGGAGCCAAACGUGCGUGCCAUUUGCGUGACCGAUGGCGAGCGCAUCCUUGGCCUGGGAGAUCUUGGUGCCUGCGGCAUGGGCAUUCCCGUGGGCAAGAAGGCCUUAUACACGGCCCUCGCUGGCAUCAAGCCGCACCAGUGCCUCCCCAUUGUGGUUGAUGUGGGCACCAACAACAUCGAUUUGCUGGAGGAUCCCCUGUAUGUGGGUCUGCGCCAGAAGCGUGUGGUCGGACGCGAGUACGACGACUUCAUUGAUGAGUUCAUGGAGGCGGUGGUGAAGCGCUAUGGGCAGAACACCCUCAUCCAGUUCGAGGACUUUGGCAAUCACAAUGCAUUUCGGUUCCUGGACAAAUACCGCAACAACUACUGCACCUUCAACGACGAUAUCCAGGGCACAGCCGCCGUGGCUGUGGCUGGAUUGUAUGCCUCCAAGCGCAUCACCGGCAAGUCCUUCAAGGACUACACCUUCCUGUUUGCCGGCGCCGGUGAGGCUGCCAUCGGUAUUGCCGAUCUAGUCGUCAAGGCCAUGGUGGCAGAGGGCGUGCCCAUCGAAGAGGCUUACCAUAAGAUCUACAUGGUAGAUAUCGACGGUCUGCUGACGACCACCCGCAAAGUGGGCAACCUGGAGGGUCAUAAAGUCAACUAUGCCAAGGACAUUGAACCCAUGGCGGAUCUCGAGCAGAUUGUAUCGGCCAUUAAGCCAAAUGUGCUAAUUGGCGCAUCGGCCUGUCCCGGCCUGUUUACGCCCAAGAUCCUACGCACCAUGGCGGACCACAACGAUAGGCCCGUGAUAUUCGCCCUCUCCAAUCCCACCAGCAAGGCGGAAUGCACCGCCGACGAGGCAUACCAUAACACGGAUGCUCGCGUGAUCUUCUCGUCGGGCUCGCCCUUCCCACCGGUCAAAGUGGGCGACAAGACGUACUAUCCGGGCCAGGGCAACAAUGCUUAUAUCUUCCCGGGCGUCGGUCUGGGCGUUAUCUGCACGGGCACGCAUCACAUACCCGAUGACAUGUUCCUGAUUGCCGCCCAGGAGUUGGCCAACUUUACGGAGUCCAGUGACAUUGAGCGCGGCUCCCUGUACCCGCCGCUGGAGAACAUCCGUGAUGUGUCCAUGAACAUUGCCAUUGGUGUGACCAAGUGUGCCUACGACAAGGGCCUGGCAUCUACCUAUCCGGAGCCGCAGGACAAGCGCAAGUGGCUGGAGGAUCAGCUGUAUAAUUUCAACUAUGAGUGCUCGAUGCCCGUGACCUGGACCUGGCCGCGCAUGCCCUACAUUAAGACUCGUGAAUUAGUGCCCACCAAGCUCUAUGGAAAAAAAAAAAGCGAAGAGAUUCUAUAAAUUAGAAAACCAAACCCCCAAGCAAGCAAUCAACCAACCAACCCACUACCAACACGACCGCCUAGAACAAUUGGCCAAACAGACAGCAAGCUAACAGCUCCGAGAACUGCCUUUAAUAUCCGUUUAGAACACCCAACUAAGUUAUAGAGACUAUGAUUCGUGUUUUGUUUAGUUGUCCCACGUGUAUCCUGUGUGGGAUAUCCGUGCGGGCAUACAUAUAUCGAGUAUGUUUGUUGUUGAGCCAUGUCUGAUAUUUAUUAACGCAGUUAAGCAGCUUUUGUUAUAAUUUAUUGUUACACAAGGUCAGCCUAAAUGUACUACUACUCGUACUAUCAAAGAUAUAAUAUAAAGAAACCCCCAUCCCCCAAUCGAUCGGACCGAUUCAGCCACUGUACAAUUGACUAGAUUUUAUGAUGUGCUAUAAACAAUAAAAAUUAAACAACAGAAAUCAA
rnacentral:misc_RNA from 1 species